UGUGUGUAUGUAUGCAUGCAUGAGUGCAUGUGUAGCUGAGAGGACUACUUUCAAGAGUCAGUAGUUCUCGGGCUGGAGAGAUGGCUCAGUGGUUAAGAGCACUGACUGCUCUUCCAGAGGUUCUGAGUUCAAACCCCAGCAACCACAUGGUGGCUCACAACCAUCUGUAAUGGGAUCUGGUGCCCUCUUCUGGAUAGUUACAGUGUACUCACAUAAAUAAAUCAUAAAACGAGUCAGUAGUUCUCCCUUUCCACCAUGUUUAAUCACUAUUGUUUUCUGCUGUCCUAUGUCCUGUAGGCUAGCUGGCUUACAAGACUCUGGGGCACUCUCCUGCCUCCACCUUCCAUUUCACUGCCGGAGUGCUGGGAUUACAGAUUCAAGCCAGGCAUUAAGUUUCCUGUCAGUUCAGAGGUCUUAACUCAAGCCACCCCCCAGCUUCCUGUUUGGGAAUGCUUUUCUUCACUGAGUCAUCUGGUUGCUAGGGCUUGAGCACAGGGAAAACAGAAUUUCAGCCAAAUCUUCAGAUGUGGAAGCUGGCCUUAUUUCAGUAUUAUUUUCAUAGGACAAUCACAGUCUGACAUAUAGUCCCACCCUUUUGAUCUGCAUCUAAAGAAAACCCAAUUAAAAUUUUAGUGCAAUUUAAAUAUAGUUAUGGCUAUGUGUGGGAAAGUGACAAAUGCUGUACCUCCGUGAAGAUCCAACAGUGACAGUCUCCAUUAGCAAGAAGUGUGUCCUUUCUCUGGAUGGUAAGUCCCUUCCAUAUUGAUUCAGGACUGUGUGUUGCUGUCCUAAGGCACAAACUGGGUAGUGGAACACCACUAUUUUCCCCAAGUUCCUGAGUACAAGAAGCAAGCAGCCAUUGAAUAACUGCAGGUCAUGUUUAUCAGAUGCUUAAUGUACGAUAAACACUGUAAUGUAAUAUAUUGCUGCUAAUUCAAUUUAAUCUUUCGAACAAUAGCUUACAUUGUGUUAUUAAUAUAAUUUACUAAGGGAGGAAACAGAGCCGCGCAGUGAGUAAAUUACUUGCUUAAGGUCACAAAUCUUCCUGAGAGAUGGAGCCCAGUGCCCCGGGGAUUUAUCUUCAUCAAUACUUCUAGUUUAAAAGUGAAGUGAGACGCAGACUAGGGCAGGUGUGAUUAUUGUUGUUACAGAGGAAAAAGGGAAAGUAAUCUGGGGAGAUUCCUCAUCAGCCUCUGUUUAGCUGAAUGCUUCUAUAUGAGGAGUUGGAGGCAAACAAGUUAUCAAAAGGGAAUGCCAUAGAAGGACUUGAUCUUUGAACUGCUAGGAUGUCUUAAUAUUCUUUAGUUUUUUACAAUCGUGUUUCUUCAUCCAAUAUUAAAAUAUGCUGAUGAGUAGACAUUGCGUCUUUAUAUUCUUGUAAUCCAGUUCAGCAGUGUGUGUUGCAGACAUGCUGAUAGGACGUGGCUUGGACUUUCAGCAAACAUAGGCACAGUGGAAGGGAUAUGCUUCACCAUCACCGUCCAGCAUAGCUUCUGCAAAUAAAGAUGUAUAAUGGUACAAAAUAUCCCAUUCUAGCCAGCAUUCAGCAUGCUAAUUUCCUAGAAAAAUUAUGUUUCGGAAUUCUCCAGGGGACUUAGAGAGGUGGGAAUAAAAGCCUAUGAUUUGAGAAAGAAGAGGGCAAACAAAGAAAACACCGUAGAAGAAGGAGUAGAGGAUGGCCUUUGUUGUAAAGUUAUUAGAUGGAAACUUGAAUGUACUUCACAAGAAGGUGCAAGGGAUUAAUAUUAUGAAAAUAUCCUAGCCUCAUAAUAUAAUUUCAUCAUGCUCUCCACACUCUGUUUAUACAAAUGAGUUAGUUUGAUUUCAGUGGAACCACUCCAAAUGCUCGGAAGCAUGUUUGAAAACUCGCAGGUCGAAAUCAGCCAAUCUACCAUCCUGAUUAGAUCAGGUCCCUAACCAUUCAAAGCUGACGUGGUCAUCUCAAAUGAAACAGUGAGGAUGCAAACAGUGGUAAACUAUUGCCUUUUGGUGGAUUCAGUCCAAUUACCCAAGAUGUAGGCUUUCCCUGACCUUCAAGUCUAAUUGAAACACUAACAGGUAUCAAAGUGAGCACCUGGUGACAUCCCUGAGAAGUGCUCUCUCUUCUAGCUGAGCCAUCUGCCCGCAGCCCCUAAGAGGUUUUCCAUCAAAUACAGAAAUAUAAUUUUUGCUUGGGUUCUCCUGCAAUUAAGGAAGUUUCAAAGUAACUAAAAUAUUUUGUUUUAUAGCUAAAUAAAAUAUUUAAUUUGAGGUAGCUUUAGACUUAUUGGGAGUUCCCUAAGGUUGCACAAUGAGUUCCCAUAUAUGUCGUACACAGAUACUCUGUUACCAUCUGGUAUCGCUAUGGCACAAAGGUAAUGGACCAAUACUGUUAUUUUAUUGUUAACUGUACUUAGUACUUUUGUUUUUUUAAUGCUUAUCUAAAAACUUCCUGUCUUUUCUCUCCCCCUGUCCCUCUACCUACAUCUUCCUCUUUCCCCAUGCUCCUCAUAGUGUGUGUGUGUGUGUGUGUGUGUGUGUGUUUGUUUGUGUGUGUGUGUGUGUAUUUUGCCUGCCACAGAGUAUUAUAGAACUUGGAGGAUAGCCUCAGCUGUUAAUCAUCACCUUCCAACCAUUUUAUAUAUAAUUUCUUAUUUGCUGCUGCAUAAGCCAGACUGGCUAGCCCUCAGGUUCCCAGGGAGUCUUGGGUUUCUGCUUCCUAUCUUGCCACAGUUGUACUAAGGUUACAGGCAAGUGAUACCAUAUCCUCUAACAUUUCUUGAAUAUUCUCACACCUGGACUGAGAUACCAGACUGGGGUGAUUAUGUACAGUAAAACCUUUAUGUCUGUCUUUAAGUGAAGGGUAUAGUAAAGCCUUUGUGUUGGCUUUGAGUGAAAUGAUUCAGCAAAGUCUUUGCUAUGUUUUGGUUAAUCGGUAGUUGCUGAGAAAUCGUUAUGAGGCUGUUUGAACCUUGAAGAAAUAUUUUCUCUCUAGACGGUCCAUACUUGGUGGUCCAUGAGAGAUUGCAGAUGGACUAACCUUGGUCUUAAGACACUCCUUCCUGAUUACCUGUGAGUUCUGAGAUUUGUGUAGUUUGUCUGCUUUCAUGGGCAGCCUAGGGCAAGAUAGCUGGAGCUUUCCCAGCCCCAGUUAACCUUGUAUGAUGUUUGAAUCAAGUAACUGGAGUGAGUUAACUGGGUGUCAGUCCUCCCCAGGAGGCUGUACCCCUCUGCUCCUUUGGGAAGUGAAGGCAUCUUGGUGCGCUUCUUUCUCUACCGCAGCACCUAUGAUGAGCAGCCAUCAGUACCACACUCGUUUCAGUUAUGUCUUCUCUGUGUUUUAGUGCUUUAUUAUGACUUUAAUGGUUUUGAGGGGUUCUAGAACAGACAUUUGUAGACUGGUUCUCAACUUGUUCUUUUCCUUAUAUUUUCAUCAUAUUAGUUAUCUUGGAGGCAGAUCACAGGGGUGAAGUGCCAUUGUCAACAUAUAUUAAAGAUGCUUGCUAUGAAUGUAAGGUCUUUGUUGAUGUUCUCUGGGAUCACUUGGAGAAGGAAGUCCUUUCCAGGCUGGACCACAGGGGGACUGUUCAUUUCCAUAAACCUCACCAUAUCAUGCAUUUUGAAAGCAAGUCACUAAGAGCAGCGCAUACUAGAGGGGUGAGCCAUUGACUUCUCUGCCAUGGGAUAAGAGAAAUCUGAGUCUAAUCUAAAACAAAUUAUUACGAUUCUUGUGUAAAUGUGUGCUAAGCUCAUUUAUUUACAUAUUUAUUCGUGGAUUCACUCAUAUCAGUACAGACAGGCACAGAGCGUCUUUAAAAUGUAAUGAAUUGCUAUAGUUUUAUUGCUCUAAUCAUUCCAGCGCUAGUCAGCCUGAGCUCGGUGUCCAUUUGACACGUGGUCAUCUUUUUGUCUUUUUCAGUUUGUUCAGCUGUGGAUCUGCGCGAUGCUCGAGGCUCAUCUAGGUACAACUACAGUGUCAAGACACUUCUUUGAGGAGAAACUUGAGACUAGUGUUAGAAAUCGAGGCCUGAGAACAAAUAAAAAGCUUUUCUUUCUUCUUCCUUUUUCCUUUAGUUAUUUUUGCUAUUGUUGCUGUCACUGCUGCUGUCAAAGAAGCACUUAUUAAAUGUCUGCGUCUGCUUUAAUAGACAUUGCAUGCAAGUGGGAGGACACCCUUCUUAGUAGCCAGGGAGAACACGGGGGACCAGGGCUACUUUAUCCCAUUUGCUGGUGAGGAAGCUAACAAUCCCCCUGCUGAAGGAUUCUGUUUACCAAACUUUGGGUGGAAUGAGGAGGACAUGCUGCAGGUACUAAGAUAGGAAGAGGAAAUUUGCCUUGGGCAACACCUUGAAUAUGCUCUGCAGUAUAAUUCAUGUUUCCCAGUAGAAAUAGAAGAGGAUUUCUAUGCAGAUAACUGGUAUCCAAGUUAUAAACAGUGAAAUAGGAAGGCUAAGUAGCAAAGAGUAACACACAUAUGAACCCAAAUAUUCAAAAUAUUGUCAUUUUAAAAGUCAGUUUACUAUUAUUGGGAUAUUUUGCAUUCAUUUUUCCACACAAAAAUUUGAAGUCUAAGUGGUGUUUCUUUUUUACAAAGCAUUUUUCAACUUCAUUUGAACUACCGAAUUUCAAGUAUUUAAUAAAUACUUGUAAUCCAGGAGUUGUGGCAUACAUGUUUAAUUCUAGCACUCUGGAGGCUGGUGGAUAAUCAGAACUCAAGGCCAUCCUGGUCUAAAGAGUGACUUUCAGGAAAGCCAGGGUUACACAGAUAAAAACUCUGUAUCAAAAAACAUGGAAACAAAUACACGCGAUUAAAUAAUACUGUUUUAAAUAAUGCUUCAAUAGGUAUGUAUAGAAUAUUAAGUGACCAUAAACUAGGACUGCUUCGUAGCAUUCCUCCUUUGUAACACCAUUGACGCUUGAGUCUUCAGGCUUAUUUCCUACUGUGUAUAUUCCCUACGUAAACUGGGACCUAAACUACAAGGAGAUGGUGGAGAAUUGCAAGUCAAGACUUUCCGGAGACUCUCAUUACAUGAGUUGUAAUUUUUGUCCAUUUACCUGUCCGUUGUGUUCGUGUUUUCUAUCUGUAGCUAGUGUGUCUUGCUACCUCUUCGGCAGGAUAUUGCUGUAUGUCAGGGGACUGUGGGGCUUCCCGGGGCCGUGCUGAGUUAACCUGCUUUUAUGCAGUGUGAACCACUGGUGUUAAAGUGAGAGGAUUGCAUUCAAAGGUAAACGUCUAGUGCGCAGACGAUAUAUAUAGUGAGUUACAGCUUGGAGACCAGAGGUUAUGCUUGAGGUUGCUCAAUAGCUCCGUGAAGGGCAGCAGCUCUCCGCGGCCAUGACCUCCUCUUUUUUUAUCUCAAGUUUUUCAGAAUGUGCGCAAUCUGGCAGAUGUGUUUUGUUUAUCUGGAAAAUGUUGAUGUGCUGUUUAAAAAGAUACAUGCCCUGUACAUGAAAACAGUAAAGUUCUAAAAGUGAUGAGGGUCACAUUUAAGGAAUAGAAAUACUUGUCCAGAAGAUGCAGAUUACUAUUUUAGAAAGGCCUACUGGCUGCUUCCACUAGAUGGUUGUCCUAGGGAUGGGCAAGUAGGAUCUGCCAGUCCAAUAGCUGUCCUUCCUCGGGAAGCUCCCAAAGAAAAGCUUCCCAGAAGUCUUUACUGGGAUAAGAAUACCGCAAUCUGAUUUUUGUCUUUGUCUUUCAUUAAAAUACCACCAGACCUAUGGUUUUACCAGUGAUUUGAAGUGCACUUAUUGUUCAGUGUACUCCCAAGGUCUUCUUUAGGUAAGGCUUAUUUUAGUGUGGUGCUGAACUGAUCCUAAGAGGUAACCAUAAAGAUCUGUAACCUGACAAACAGAACUUGAUUUGGGAGUGAUAAUAAGAAACCAGCUCACACUUGUCCAACUGCGAGGGUGUGGCUUCCCAAGACUUCAGCCGCUGUGCAGAUCUGUGGCCAUCACACACUUUACACAGUUUACUGGGCACAGCUGGAACACAUCUGGGGACUGGAAAGUUUCUGGGAGUCACAGCGCUCUUCUAAAAUUUUGUCAAGCCCUGAAUGUUUGGCCGAACUUCCUUUCCCAUGACUCCCUGUAAGUUCUUCAUCAUUUCCCUCGGUUGCUGUAGAAUAUACUUGCAGGCAAACAGUCCUUUGACCUAGUCUGCCUCCUUCUCUGUUGUCUUCCACAGAGUCAUCUCCUUAAACGAACCGUUCCAAAAUGAGUCUGCUCUUCAGAGUCUUCAGACUUGCUACUUGGAGUGUCUAGAAGUCAUACAGUGAAUUGGAGUCACUUGGCAUUUUGACUUUGGAAUGAAAAUAUUGUGUGGCACGGCGGGGAGGCAGGGCAAUGUGAAAGGGAUCCCUGCAGGAUGCUGGUAGCAUUGGCUGGUGCAAAGUGUUGGAGUCCCUGAACUGGACAAGAGGAACGCUUUUAUAGGAGUACAGGGAGGCUGCAGCAGCUCAGAGUCAGUAAAGGGAACAGGAGAAGAGAGACAUGGUGACAGUGGGAGACUCAUUGUACACUGCAGGAAUUGAACUAAAAAGGCAACUCGAAGAUAAUGGCAGCCAGGCUUCACCCUGUCAGAGACAGAGGCCUCAAGACUUGCAGAUGGAGUUAGCGUGUGACCCAGAGCUUCCCCCUUUUGGAUUUAUAUACCAGCAUGAUUAAAAACAAAAGCUCAAACAAUCAUUUCACAUAUUGUCAUGGGAACAGCCUUCAUAACAGCCCACAGAGGAAACAAUACAAAUUUCUAUCAACUGAUGGAUAAAAAAUGGCGGUGUGUUCCUUACACAGGAAUACUGUUGAGCUCCAGAAGGGAAUAGACUAUUGACAGGUGGUAUUAUGUAAGUGAACCUUGUAAACAUCUCACUGAGUGAAAGAAACCAGACAUAAAAUGUCACACAGUGUAUAAUUCUAUUUGUACAAGAUAUCCUCAAAAGGCCAAUUUUUUAGAGACAUAAGGCAGGUAUGUGGUUGCCAGAAGCUGUAAGGAAGAAUAACUAGUGACUGCUAACAGGUGUGUGAUCUCUUUGGGGAUUUGUAAACCUGCUCUGGAGUUAACUGCCAUGAUUGUACAACCUUGUAAACAUUCCAAUGUCCCCUGAAUUGUACGCUUGAAAAUUAUGAAUUUUAAAGUGUGAACUAGAUCUCAAAGACAGAAAAUUAGGAACACAUUUAUGUGAAGAUAUUUGAAAACAAAUGAAAUAAAUACUCUUGGACAAACACUA